CCGAAACGUCUCUUCUUUCCUCUCUGCGAUCUUUUUUUAUCGCCGACAAGCCGCCGACGAAGGGGUAGGCGACAAGGAGUCAACUAGCGCCAGUUGCUCGAGAGGUAGCCAGUGAGGUAGUGAGCAAAGGCCGCUCGUGAGGCAGUCGCUACCUCACCAGUGCGCGAGGUAACCAUUGACUCGGCAAACGACGAGCGAUCGCUUCAUGAUGAAGGUUGAUGCAAAUUUGGAUGCUUUUGGUGUGAUGAUGAACCGCAGGAGGUUAUGUAUUUGGCUGACGUGGUAAGCUCUCAUCAAAACUUUAUCCCCAAAAUUUAUCCACCUUUGGAUGCCUGGCCUCCCUCCGGGUGCCUGGACCGUUAACGUGGGAUGGUUAGUAAUUGCGCUCCAACUCAGCUUCUGGAUGAACUUUAAUAGUCCAAGCGCCUAGAGCACCUCUGGGAGCCCGGACCAACUGAAUGUCUGACCAAGCACCCGUUUGAGUGAAACUGGUCCAAGCACUCAUACCAACUUCGAGCGCUCGGAAUGCAGGUGCCCGGAUUUCUUUCGAGUGCUUGGACCACUCUUUUUCACCUUUAUCUUUCUUGUAAAAAAGUGUUGGCCCAGACAAUCAUAAUAUGUUUAUCCUGUACAAUAAAGUUAGCACAAUAAGAUAGUAGUAUUAAUUAAAUCCUAUCUCCCCGAGAUCAGGAUUAGGUAUGGUCUCAGCUUAGAUUUAUCAAAUGGACCAAAGUUGGACUGACAGCUACUGUUCCCUCAACCAAGAAUGUGUCCUCACUAGAUCUCUCCUCUAGUUGCUUACCUCUAUUUACCAAUUAUAGACUUAAGGUCUCUUGACCCACCGGGAUUUCCUGUCAGAUUUCAACCAAUCUGGACUUCCUCUUGUAGAUCUCAACUGCUCUGGACUUCAUGUCAGCUAUCAACGUAACUAGACUUCCUUCUGCUAUAUCUCAACCAAUCUGUACUUUGUGCUAGCUAUCAACCUAGUUGAACUCCAGCUUGGUGUUUCGGUCCUCUAAACCCAUCAAGUCUUACAUACUUGGUAAAGAUGUUAG